UACGAGGGGGGCAAAUGUUGUUCGGAAUCACUGGGCGUAAAGGGAGCGUAGGCGGUUUUUUAAGUUAGGUGUUUAAUCCCGGGGCCCAACCCCGGACAGGCACCUAAAACUGGAAAACUUGAAUAGGGGAGAGGUCGGUGGAAUUGGAGGUGUAGCGGUGGAAUGCGUAGAGAUCUCCAAGAACACCAGUUGCGAAGGCGGCCGACUGGACCCAUAUUGACGCUGAGGCUCGAAAGCAUGGGGAGCAAACAGG
rnacentral:rRNA from 1 species